AUUGAACGCUGGCGGCAUGCCUUACACAUGCAAGUCGAACGGUAACGCGGGGCAACCUGGCGACGAGUGGCGAACGGGUGAGUAAUGUAUCGGAACGUGCCCAGUUGUGGGGGAUAACUGCUCGAAAGAGCAGCUAAUACCGCAUACGACCUGAGGGUGAAAGAGGGGGAUCGAAAGACCUCGCGCAGUUGGAGCGGCCGAUAUCGGCUUAGGUAGUUGGUGGGGAAAAGGCCCACCAAGCCAACGAUCUGUAGCUGGUCUGAGAGGACGACCAGCCACACUGGGACUGAGACACGGCCCAGACUCCUACGGGAGGCAGCAGUGGGGAAUUUUGGACAAUGGACGCAAGUCUGAUCCAGCCAUGCCGCGUGCGGGAAGAAGGCCUUCGGGUUGUAAACCGCUUUUGUCAGGGAAGAAAAGGGCGACUCUAAUACAGCUGCCUCAUGACGGUACCUGAAGAAUAAGCACCGGCUAACUACGUGCCAGCCGCCGCCGUAAUAC
rnacentral:rRNA from 1 species